AACCAUCAAGUUUGGGACGUUUAUUUUGGUUACGAAUUGCAUCAUUCAAUUAAACCAUCAUUACAUUCAUAUACAAGACAUACCACUUAGGUCUCAAAGGAGAAAUACAUAAGCUGACUUGAAAUGCCAAUUUAUGACAUUAAUAUUGAAAGUUUAAGCUUGGGUUUAAUUUAGAUCAAGAAAUUUCCCAAACUAGAGGGUUAACAUUUGGAUCAAUGAGAAAUUCUGAAUGCAGGAUUAUAGACUUGAUCAUAAUGUUGAUUGAUUCAGCAUUAACGUGCCAUUUCAUAUUACAGAAAUACACUAACUAUAAAGAUACUGAAAGAGACAAAAAAAA